ACAUUGGAGAAUCAAGGCUUAUGGUGGAUGCCUAGGUAGUUUGAGUCGAGGAAGGACGUGUGUAUGGACACGAUAUCGUCGGUGAGUCUCCUAACAGACAUUUCAACCGGUGGUUUCCGAAUGGGGUAACCCCUCUUGAUGUAAAUCAAGAGACCCGCUCAGAGCGCUUGCUCUUUUGAGCGGGGGAUAACCCGGUGAACUGAAACAUCUCAGUAACCGGAGGAAAAGAAAACAAUAUUUCCGCUUGGCAACAAGCGGGAGAGUGAUUCCGUCAGUAGCGGCGAGCGAACGCGGAGAAGCCUAAACCUACUUGUGCUUUGCACAAGGCGUUACACAUAUAAACGUACAACGUAUCACGUUUUUAAAAACGUGAAACUUGGAACGUGAAACUUGGAACGUCUCGCGCAGGCGCGAGUGGGGGUUGCGGGAGUCUGCAUACCUCUGCUUCUUUUUAAAAGAACGUUUUGGAAAAAACGGCCAUAGAUGGUGACAGCCCAGUAUUUGAAAAGAAGAAGUAGAGAGCGGAAUUUCCCAAGUACCACGGAACACGGUAACUCUGUGGGAAUCCGGGGCGGUCAUGCUCCAAGGCUAAAUACUCAAACUGACCGAUAGUGAACUAGUACCGUGAGGGAAAGGUGAAAAGUCCCCCGGCGAGGGGAGUGAAAUAGUACCUGAAACCAUAAGCUGUCAAACAGACAGAGCUUGUGCUUUGCACAAGGCGUUACACAUAUAAACGUACAACGUAUCACGUUUUUAAAAACGUGAAACUUGGAACGUGAAACUUGGAAC
rnacentral:ncRNA from 1 species